UACAGGGGGGGCAAGCGUUGUUCGGAUUCAUUGGGCGUAAAGGGUGCGUAGGUGGCGCGGUAAGUCGGGUGUGAAAUUUCGGAGCUUAACUCCGAAACUGCAUUCGAUACUGCCGUGCUUGAGGACUGGAGAGGAGACUGGAAUUUACGGUGUAGCAGUGAAAUGCGUAGAGAUCGUAAGGAAGACCAGUGGCGAAGGCGGGUCUCUGGACAGUUCCUGACACUGAGGCACGAAGGCCAGGGGAGCAAACGGG
rnacentral:rRNA from 1 species